UAAAUAAUAGUGAGUUCCACUAUUGGGUAAAAUAGUUUUAUCAGUGUGUGGUUUGUCGUUUUUGUUGACUAACCACUAUUUCUCUUCUGUUUACUCAAUUGCUAAUUGUUGUAAUGAAAGAGCUUAUGUGGUAAAGAACUAGUUAUUUGUCAUAUCUUACCUUGAUAUUGUGAUGAUUGUAGGACUUGCUGUUCUCGUACAACAUUGCCGUGGAUAGAUCAGAUGAAAUGAAAAGAGUACUCGGGAAAUCUGCUGCUAGUGUGGGCCUUCGUCUUCCUGAGCCUUAUCAGCCUUGAUGGUUUAGUUUCUUUGCUAUCAAACAAACGGAACCAGUGAUUUUGUUGAUCCAUUCCAAAGAAUGUUUACUGCUGUUGCUUGAACCAGUUGCUGGCUGUAAUAUUUGCCGCACUAAUAAAAUCAUAGUUGCUUGAA